UGCGUAGGCGGCCGUGCAAGUCGGGUGUGAAAUCCCUCGGCUCAACCGAGGAAUUGCGCCCGAAACUGUGCGGCUAGAGGGAGACAGAGGUGAGCGGAACUGGCGGUGGAGCGGUGAAAUGCGUUGAUAUCGCCAGGAACACCAGUGGCGAAGGCGGCUCACUGGGUCUCUUCUGACGCUGAGGCACGAAAGCUAGGGGAGCGAACAGGAUUAGAUACCCUGGUAGUCC
rnacentral:rRNA from 1 species